CAUCUUCAUCUUAAAUGAUUUGCUCGAGAAUGGUGCGUGGAAUUCUCCUGCAGUUGUGCCUGGUCUCCAUGGCUACAUCGGCGUACGUCAACAGCUGGGAUGACACCUUCCGCUUCGAAUGUCCCGACGGUGAACACAUUGCUAGCGUCGGCAGCACGCAUUCCAACCAUCACGAGGAUCGCCGGUGGGAGUAUCACUGUGAGAAACUCUCCCGUUCCUAUACUGGGUCCUACUUCAAAAAUUGCGCGUGGUCGGGCUUCGUGAACGACUUCCACGAGAUGGUGGCCUUCCGAUGUCCAGAGAAAGGCGCAGUCACAGGCGUCUAUAGCAUUCACGACAACCGCAAAGAGGACCGACGGUUUAGCUUCAAGUGCUGUCAAGUGGUGAACUACCCGAUAAAGGAAUGCAAGUUUACGAACUACCUGAACGAAUGGGAUGGUCCAAUGAACUACAGAGUCCCGGAUAGGUUCCUCCUGGUCGGGUUUGCCAGCUAUUACGGCAAACAGAACAAGCUGUGGAAACUGCCUUUACUGAGAGGUGAUAACCAUGAUCGAAGAUGGAAAGCCGAAAUCUGCAGAUACAAGAAGUGCACUGUUUAAAAUGAUCUGACAAACCAACGGCUGCUGUGUUACAAAGAAUCACCGGCAUUGCGUACUCUUAUGUAGUUACGAAAACGGAAUACAAAUAAAUAAUGCAAACUAAAAACACUC